rnacentral:misc_RNA from 1 species
CAGCCGCGUAAUUCCAGCUCCAAUAGCGUAUAUUAAAGUUGUUGCAGUUAAAAAGCUCGUAGUUGAAUUUCGGGAUUGACACAUCGGUCGUGCCUUAAGGGGUAUGAACUGGUGUAGUCAAUUUCUCACCUUCUGGAGAACCGCAAUGCCCUUAAUUGGGUGUCGCGGGGAACCAGGACCUUUACUUUGAAAAAAUUAGAGUGUUUAAAGCAGGCAUUUUGCUUGAAUACAUUAGCAUGGAAUAAUAAAAUAGGACGGAUGAUUCUAUUUUGUUGGUUUCUAGGACCACCGUAAUGAUUAAUAGGGAUAGUUGGGGGCAUUAGUAUUCAAUUGUCAGAGGUGAAAUUCUUGGAUUUAUUGAAGACUAACUACUGCGAAAGCAUUUGCCAAGGAUGUUUUCAUUAAUCAAGAACGAAAGUUAGGGGAUCGAAGACGAGCAGAUACCGUCGUAGUCUUAACCAUAAACUAUGCCGACUAGGAAUCAGACGAUGUUAAUUUUUUAAUGACUCGUUUGGCACCUUACG